ACGCUGGCGGCAGGCCUAACACAUGCAAGUCGAACGGUAACAGGAAUUAGCUUGCUAAUUUGCUGACGAGUGGCGGACGGGUGAGUAAUGCUUGGGAAUCUGGCUUAUGGAGGGGGAUAACUACGGGAAACUGUAGCUAAUACCGCGUAAAAUCUUCGGAUUAAAGGGUGGGACUUUCGAGCCACCUGCCAUAAGAUGAGCCCAAGUGGGAUUAGGUAGUUGGUUAGGUAAAGGCUGACCAAGCCGACGAUCUCUAGCUGGUCUGAGAGGAUGACCAGCCACACUGGAACUGAGACACGGUCCAGACUCCUACGGGAGGCAGCAGUGGGGAAUAUUGCACAAUGGGGGGAACCCUGAUGCAGCCAUGCCGCGUGAAUGAAGAAGGCCUUCGGGUUGUAAAGUUCUUUCGGUGACGAGGAAGGUUGAUAGGUUAAUAGCCUAUCAAAUUGACGUUAAUCACAGAAGAAGCACCGGCUAACUCCGUGCCAGCAGCCGCGGUAAUACGGGGGGUGCGAGCGUUAAUCGGAAUAACUGGGCGUAAAGGGCACGCAGGCGGUGACUUAAGUGAGAUGUGAAAGCCCCGAGCUUAACUUGGGAAUUGCAUUUCAUACUGGGUCGCUAGAGUACUUUAGGGAGGGGUAGAAUUCCACGUGUAGCGGUGAAAUGCGUAGAGAUGUGGAGGAAUACCGAAGGCGAAGGCAGCCCCUUGGGAAUGUACUGACGCUCAUGUGCGAAAGCGUGGGGAGCAAACAGGAUUAGAUACCCUGGUAGUCCACGCUGUAAACGAUGUCGAUUUGGGGAUUGGGCUUUGAGCUUGGUGCCCGUAGCUAACGUGAUAAAUCGACCGCCUGGGGAGUACGGCCGCAAGGUUAAAACUCAAAUGAAUUGACGGGGGCCCGCACAAGCGGUGGAGCAUGU
rnacentral:rRNA from 1 species